GGAUUGUGGCUCAGUGGUAGAGCGCUCACUGAGCACAUGCAAGGCCCUGGGUUCGAUUCUCAGUACCA
rnacentral:tRNA from 1 species